GAUCCUGGCUCAGAUUGAACGCUGGCGGAAUGCUUUACACAUGCAAGUCGAACGGUAGAGGGGGCAACCCUCGAGAGUGGCGAACGGGUGAGUAAUAUAUCGGAACGUGCCCAGUCGUGGGGGAUAACGUAGCGAAAGUUACGCUAAUACCGCAUACGAUCUACGGAUGAAAGCGGGGGAUCGCAAGACCUCGCGCGAUUGGAGCGGCCGAUAUCAGAUUAGGUAGUUGGUGGGGUAAAGGCUCACCAAGCCAACGAUCUGUAGCUGGUCUGAGAGGACGACCAGCCACACUGGAACUGAGACACGGUCCAGACUCCUACGGGAGGCAGCAGUGGGGAAUUUUGGACAAUGGACGCAAGUCUGAUCCAGCCAUUCCGCGUGCAGGAUGAAGGCCCUCGGGUUGUAAACUGCUUUUGUACGGAACGAAAAGGUUUCUAUUAAUACUAGGAGCUCAUGACGGUACCGUAAGAAUAAGCACCGGCUAACUACGUG
rnacentral:rRNA from 1 species